CAGGGAGACAACAAAAUGUUUAAUAUUAUUAUUUUGUCACCUUAGGUCGAUCGGUAUCUCACAUUCUUAAUUUAUUAAGGAUUUUAUUUCCUAAGUUUUUUCUAGGUCACACCCAUUACUUUUCCUGGGCCAUUAGCUCAGGUGGUUAGAGCGCACCCCUGAUAAGGGUGAGGUCCCUGGUUCAAGUCCAGGAUGGCCCAUAUCUCUAUGUUGGGGGUAUAGCUCAGUUGGUAGAGCGCCUGCUUUGCAAGCAGGAUGUCAGCGGUUCGAGUCCGCUUACCUCCACUGAUUACCACCUCUUCCAUAAUUAUUAAGGAAAUGUUUUGAGUAGUGAUCAAAUUCUGAACGAAUCUAGCUUCCUAAUUUAUUCAUUAAGAUGCUGGACUCAUUGAAUUAUUUUCAUUGUUUUCAGAGAACCUUGACAACUGCAUAGAUUAUUUUUAAAGACAAUAAGCAUCUUUAUGAUGCAGAUUUAUUAUUUGUGCGAAUGCAUUAAUAACAAUUCUAUUAAGCUGAUGCUUCAAUUAUGAAGUUAUU
rnacentral:tRNA from 1 species